GUUCAAUGUGACGUGUAUGGUUAACAUUUCAAGUGCAACUGAUGGGAAAAAUUACCGUGUUCAGUUUACGAAAGGUAUUAAUUGAUCUAUUUUGUUUUUAUCUUAAUAUCAUUUUAGUCAAUUUACUCGAUUCUGAUUGGUUAAAUGGCGUGCCGAUUAAACAUUAUUAUAACGCGCAGUGUGCAUAUUAAAGAUUAAUACCGCGCAAGGUUUGUAAACAAAAUAGAAUGUUAGAACAUUAACUGAAAAAAAAUCCUACAUCUGCUAACACAUAACGCGUAGUUUUGCUAUCAACAGCGUGUUUAUUUAGUCGUAACCAUGUUUUAUUGCUGUAUACUUAAGCUUGUUUUCCUUUUUAGGACCAAGGUUCUCUAACAACGCUACCGUUAUAUCAGUGAUUGAAAACACUUUGGUUCAUUUGAAUGUUGACUGUUCAUCAGCAGGGUAUCCUAAACCUGCUGUACGGUGGAAAAUUGGUAAAGAUAUCCUCGCUCCCAGCAAUGGUAGUGUCACAUCAAAGCUUUUGGAAAAUUAUGUGGAUUAUAAGGGGUUCACAGGGACAUACCGUGUUCUAAGUAAUGGAACUUUGAGUAUUGAUGGAUCUUUCACGAACGCGCCCACUAGUGCGGAUUAUUUCUCAUGUAUUGCAAGUAAUACAGUUGGAGAACAACUUCAAAUCUUCCAUUUUAAUCUUGAGAAAU